UCACUGGUGUAUAUGGCUUUUGGAAACAUGUAUCUAAGCUUGACCGACUUGAGAGCAAGCGCUACCUUGAAAUGUUCUAUGCCCUGAAGUACCACAAAUUGGCUGAAUCUGUUCCUCUAACUGUUGAGGAUUAGGUGGAACCACAUAACUUAAGAGAGCCUUGUUUCAAGCGGGAAGUUUCGGAGUUGUGAAGAAUAAUGGUCAUUUCACAAAUUUGAUUGGACAAGAAGGAAUUUCCAUUGCUUCAUUUUGUUAUUUUAAUGUUAUUUUCCCUUUAC
rnacentral:misc_RNA from 1 species